UAGGUUUGAUUCUUGAACUUUUUGAAGCCAAUAAUUCUUCGUUUAUAUAUUUUCAAAACGUGAACCAUGUUUAUAUAUAGGAUAUUAAAUUUUUGAGCUUGUCCAAUCUCGUGACCCAUAAUCAAGCAUUGAAUAUAUAUUCUGAGAGAAGCCAUAUAUAUUCAAACUAAUUAAAAACUAAUCUAUUCAGAAAGUAUUGUGAAAUAUUGAAUAUUACGAGCAAGUAGUUAUUAAAAAAUCAAGCAGUAUGUUGUAUUAUUGUAUUGGAAUAUCUCGUGACUUAUUAUUUUUAAACGUUAUUUGUGGCCGUUUCUUGUUAUAUUACAUGCAUGCUUAUUCUUGUGUUUUAGCAGACAUGUCUCUCUUAUGUUUAAACCUUUUAAGCCAAUGUUCAAAAAAAAAAAAAAACUUUUUGGAUGUAUAUUCAAACAAAUGUUUAUAUGAGCUGUGUUCGAAUGGUAAAUUAAUUCGGUGUUAUUCAAACAUCAAUUUUAAUCACCCCUCCAAAAAAAAACUAUAAAAUAUAUGGUAUAAUACUACUAGGCGGUCUCCUUUCAUGCAGGGAACACAUGUAUCGUGUUACAAUGUUGUGAAAGUGAUAUUUCUCCGGUCACAUGAUGUACUACUAUGCUAUGG
rnacentral:lncRNA from 1 species